rnacentral:lncRNA from 1 species
UAAAAUUAUGACAAAAAUAUAUUAUAAUCGACUCAUUGCGAAAUGUAGAAUGCAAUAAAACAUAUGAAAAUAAAUAAAAUAUUUUUUAUUGUGUAUUUUCAUCGCACCUAAUAUAAUAUUUUCGCAAUUUCAAACAGAGCCUAAGAAUUGUGUCCGAAGCAUGAUUCCACUUGGUUGGAUCCCAAAUGAGUCUAAGGGUGCAUCUGAUUCGCACUAUAAAAGAUUACUAGCAAUAAAAAUAUGUCCGAGAAUCUUAUGUCUAUUCACCCUAUUACUGAGAAUGUGACAUUUCUGUGUUUGGUUUGUAUGGUUAUUAUUUAGUCAUAUUAUUUAAGUUUACAAAAAAUAUACAAUUAAUUUAUUUUUUUAAUUAAUUUUAGAUAAUGCCACAAAAAAUUUCAACAUCUUUUUUUAAAAAAAAGGGAGAGAGAGAACAUAGGUUAGAGAGAGAGAGUAUAAUUAAAGAAAUAAGAAGAGAAAUAGAGUCGAAAUUAGAGGGAGUGAGAGAGUUGAGAUUUUAGAAAAAGAGGGGGAAAGAGAGCUUAGUUUAGAGAGAGAAAAAAGUUGAAGUUUAGAGAGAGAUAUAAGAUUAGAGUAUAAAAAAAAAUAAUACCAACUAACCGGCGGAUAGGAAGAAAGAAAGAGAUUAGACAUAUUAUUNAUACAAUUAAUUUAUUUUUUUAAUUAAUUUUAGAUAAUGCCACAAAAAAUUUCAACAUCUUUUUUUAAAAAAAAGGGAGAGAGAGAACAUAGGUUAGAGAGAGAGAGCAUAAUUAAAGAAAUAAGAAGAGAAAUAGAGUCGAAAUUAGAGGGAGUGAGAGAGUUGAGAUUUUAGAAAAAGAGGGGGAAAGAGAGCUUAGUUUAGAGAGAGAAAAGGAGUUGAAGUUUAGAGAAAAAAAAAAAGUUUAGAGAGAGAUAUGAGGUUAGAGUGUAAAAAAAAAUAAUAUCCACUAGUCGGCGGGUAGGAAAAAAGAAAGAAAUUAGACAUAUUAUAAUUACCCCAAUUCAUUAAUAUAAGAAAACCCACCCUUCCUCAAGGAGAUGAGAUUAGUUAUUUGGGAUGAAUCUCAUUCCCAAGUAAAUCUAAUAUUAUCAACUAGAUUACUUAGUACGUUUAGCCAAAUACCGUCAUAUUUUUUUAUUCCUAUCAGAUUACUAGGAAUCUUAAAAAGAUAGCGCAAAUCAAAUGCGCCCUAAGAGUUGUAUCUAGUGCAUGGUUCCAUUUGGUUCGAUUUACCCAACAAAUUAAAAUCGAAUC